rnacentral:rRNA from 1 species
UACGGAGGGUGCAAGCGUUAAUCGGAAUUACUGGGCGUAAAGCGCACGCAGGUGGCUGAGUCAGUCGAUUGUGAAAGCCCUGGGCUUAACCUGGGAAUUGCAGUCGAUACUACUCAGCUAGAGUAUGGGAGAGGGCAGUGGAAUUCCCGGUGUAGCGGUGAAAUGCGUAGAUAUCGGGAGGAACAUCAGUGGCGAAGGCGGCUCACUGGGCUGGUAUUGACGCUGAGGUGCGAAAGCGUGGGGAGCAAACAGG